GCAAACCCCAGUAGACAUGCCCCCAGAGCACACAGCUAUACCUGCGACCCCUGGGUUCAGGUUCGGAGAACUGAAUUACUGGAAUGACGGAGUAGAUACUGCAGCGCCGGUUCCUCAGUCGGUUCCUCAGUCGGUUCCCCAGUCGGUUCCUAGACCCGCACCUCCACAGGGCCCCGGAGUCCCUAGGCCCGUACCCCAACAGGGCCCUGGGGUCCCUAGACCCAUCAGACCCCAGCAACCACCAAACUGACCCGACUGGUGGUUUUUAGUUUAUGUUCUUCACAAACCAUGUAUGAAAAUUGACUUCUAAAUUGACUUAUUCUCGAAACCUGAAGAAGAAAAAUUGGUUGUAUAUUUUAUGUUUGAGAAGUAUUGGAUAAACCCCUAUUUUCUUGAACUGCAAUAUCAAAAUGGGUAUUUGAGACAUCCCACACAAAUGUUAAAAAGAUUGUAUUUUAUUGAACGCUUUUUUUUAUGUUUAUUAAAUGUUAUUUGUGUUCGUGGAUUAAAUAAAGUUAUCUGUUGAA